rfam:Glycine soja cultivar W05 scaffold233_4, whole genome shotgun sequence.
ACUGUUUCCUGGGAUUGGCUUUGGGCUUUCCUGCACAGCUUAGGUGGAGGGCAAAGAAGACUUCCUUCUGAGGGGGCCAGAGCCAUCAGAGAGAUACCACUCUGGACGAGCUAGAAUUCUAACCUUGUGCCAGGACCUAUGGGCCGAGGGACAGUCUCAGGUAGACAGUUUCUAUGGGACGUAG